ACGUACACUCCUACGGGAGGCAGCAGUGGGGAAUAUUGGACAAUGGGCGCAAGCCUGAUCCAGCCAUGCCGCGUGAGUGAUGAAGGCCCUAGGGUUGUAAAGCUCUUUCACCGGUGAAGAUAAUGACGGUAACCGGAGAAGAAGCCCCGGCUAACUUCGUGCCAGCAGCCGCGGUAAUACGAAGGGGGCUAGCGUUGUUCGGAUUUACUGGGCGUAAAGCGCACGUAGGCGGACUAUUAAGUCAGGGGUGAAAUCCCGGGGCUCAACCCCGGAACUGCCUUUGAUACUGGUAGUCUUGAGUGCGAGAGAGGUGAGUGGAAUUCCGAGUGUAGAGGUGAAAUUCGUAGAUAUUCGGAGGAACACCAGUGGCGAAGGCGGCUCACUGGCUCGAUACUGACGCUGAGGUGCGAAAGCGUGGGGAGCAAACAGGAUUAGAAACCCCAGUAGUCCCAUGAU
rnacentral:rRNA from 1 species